rnacentral:lncRNA from 1 species
UCCUCAUGAUGGGCAGUGAAAAAAAGGUGUCAAAACCGACUUCCUCCUCUAUAAAUCCAGUCGGUGGCAACUGCGAACCAGCCGAUCGGGGGGCCACCAUUAUAGCCCUCACCGAGGGAUCACAGGGGUAGGGCGAGUGACCAGCCGUUCAAAAAAAAAGGGAGCACGAUAGUGUAGCCUUCAUCGAGGAGCUAUGGGGGCAGCACGAGCAGCCAACGAGUGGUGCCCGUGGCCAUGGGGCAAC